rnacentral:tRNA from 1 species
GCCCUGGUAGCUUAAACUAAAGCGCUGGUCUUGUAAGCCAGAGACUGCAGCCUAAGCCCUGCCCAAGGCU